rnacentral:lncRNA from 1 species
GGGGGGGUUAAUGAGGGUAAUUAGUGUGAUUCUGGUAAUUAGAGCGGUGGGGGUAACGAGGGUAAUUGUGGUAGUGGGGAUAAUUACAGUAGCGGAGAUAAUUACGGUAGCGGCGGUAAUUAGGGUAACUGGGGUGAUGCUGGUAAUGGGGGUGAUGAAGGCAACUGGGGUGAUUACCGCAAUUAGGACUAAUUGUGCUAAUUGAGGUAAUUAAGGUAACGGGGCUGAUGAUGGCUGUGUGGGUCCCAAUGGGAUCUAUGGGGCUGUGUGGGAUCUAUGGGGCUGUGUGGGUUCUAUGGGGCUGUGUGGGAUCUAUGGGGCUCUAUGGGGCCGAAUGGGAUCUGUGGGUCUCAGUGGGAUCUGUGGGUCUCAGUGGGAUCUAUGGGGCUCAGUGGGAUAUGUGGGGCUCUGUGGGUCCCAGUGGGGCUCUGUGGGUCCCAAUGGGAUCAGUGGGGCUCUGUGGGUCCCAAUGGGAUCAGUGGGGCUCUGUGGGUCCCAGUGGGAUCAGUGGGGCUCUGUGGGUCCCAGUGGGGUCAGUGGGGCUCUAUGAGUCCCAAUGGGGCUCUAUGGGUCCCAAUGGGAUCGGUGGGGCUCUGUGGGUCCGAAUGGGAUCAGUGGGGCUCAGUGGGUCUCAGUGGGGCUCUGUGGGGCUCUAUGGGUCCCAAUGGGAUCAGUGGGGCUCUGUGGGUCCCAAUGGGCUCAGUGGGGCUCUGUGGGUCCCCGUGGGGCUCUAUGGGUCCCAAUGGGAUCAGAGGGGCUCUAUGGGUCCCAGUGGGAUCAGUGGGGCUCUGUGGGGCUCUAUGGGUCCCAGUGGGGCUCUGUGGGUCCGAAUGGGAUCAGUGGGGCUCAGUGGGGCUCUAUGGGUCCCGGUGGGGCUCGGUGGGGCUCCGUGGGUCCCCGAGGGCUCCGUGGGUCGCGCUGUGGGGCUGAGGCUGUGGGGCUCCCCCCAGGACUCCUACACGUUGCUGUUCGAUGGGGUCCCGGCGUCGCUGCUCGGGGGGGGGCUGCGCGGCGACCCCCAAGUGCUGGGGGCGUUCUGCGGGGGAGGCCCCUCCCAGCCCCACACCUUGGUGGCGCGCUCAGGUGAGGGGCGGCGCGGCGCUAUGGGGCGCUAUGGGGUGAUAUGGGGUGAUGUGGGUCUCUCUAUGGGUCUCUCUAUGGGUCUCUAUGGGUCUCUCUAUGGGUCUCUGUGGGUCUCUAUGGAUCUCUCUAUGGGUCUCUGUGGGUCUCUAUGGGGUCUCUAUGGGGUCUCUAUGGGUCUCUAUGCGUCUCUGUGGGGUCUCUAUGGGUCUCUAUGGGUCUCUAUGCGUCUCUGUGGGUCUCUCUAUGGGUCUCUAUGGGUCUCUCUGUGGGGUCUCUCUAUUGAUCUCUCUAUGGGUCUCUCUAUGGGUCUCUAUGUGGGUCUCUAUGGGUCUCUAUGUGGGUCUCUAUGGGUCUCUAUGGGUCUCUAUGGGUCUCUCUAUGGGUCUCUCUAUGGGUCUCUAUGGGUCUCUCUGUGGGGCUCUCUGUGGGUCUCUCUGGGUCUCUGUGGGUCUCUCUGUGGGUCUCUAUGGGUCUCUAUGGGUCACUCUAUGGGUCUCUCUAUGGGUCUCUAUGGGUCUCUAUGGGUCUCUCUGUGGGGCUCUCUGUGGGUCUCUCUGGGUCUCUCUGGGUCUCUAUGGGGUCUCUAUGGGUCUCUAUGCGUCUCUAUGCGUCUCUGUGGGUCUCUCUAUGGGUCUCUCUGGGCCCUUAUGUGUCCCUACUAUGGGUCUGGGACCCCCAAGUGUGGGGCUGGGCACCUAAGCGAGGGACUAGCUCCCCAAGUGUGGGUCAGGGACCCACAAGUGUGGGUCUCAGACCCCUGUCUCUGUGUCCGAGGCCACCACUGUAGCUCCA